CCUACGGGAGGCAGCAGUGAGGAAUAUUGGUCAAUGGCCGGAAGGCUGAACCAGCCAAGCCGCGUGAAGGACGAAGGUGCCAAGCAUUGUAAACUUCUUUUGUCAAGGGACAAAAUCAGGCUCGAGAGCCUGACCGAGGGUACUUGAAGACAAAGCAUCGGCUAACUCCGUACCAGCGGCCGCGGUAAUGCGGAGGAGGCGAGCGUUAUCCGGAUGGAUUGGGUUUAAAGGGUUCGUAGGGGGGCUGUUAGGUCAGCGGAAACAGCCCGGGGAUCAACCCUGGCGAGACGUGGAAACUGGCUGACUUGAGAUGUCGAGAGGUAUGCGGAAUGCGCAGUGUAGCGGUGAAAUGCUUAGAUAUUGCGCAGAACUCCGAUGGCGAAGGCAGGAUACCGGCGGCGAUCUGACGCUGAGGCACGAAAGCGUGGGUAUCGAACAGGAUUAGAUACCCUAGUAGUC
rnacentral:rRNA from 1 species